GGCAGCCAACGACGUGGAGACUCGCGGGCCCCUUUGCGAGGUUACUACACGGGUUGCGCCCUCCGAAGUCUUCGGCCUUACUUCCCAUUAGAACAGAGAAAUGCCAUCCACAGGCCAACAAUCUCCCUCUGAUGCCGAGCCAAAGCUGGACUGUACUGCCAUCUCGGCUCACUGCAACCUCCCUGCCUGAUUCUCCUGCCUCAGCCUGCCGAGUGCCUGCGAUUGCAGGUGCGCGCCGCCACGCCUGACUGUUUUUCGUAUUUUUUUGGUGGAGACGGGGUUUCGCUGUGUUGGCCGGGCUGGUCUCCAGCUCCUAACCGCGAGUGAUCCGCCAGCCUCGGCCUCCCGAGGUGCCGGGAUUGCAGACGGAGUCUCGUUCACUCAGUGCUCAAUGGUGCCCAGGCUGGGGUGCAGUGGCGUGAUCUCGGCUCGCUGCAACCUCCACCUCCCAGCCGCCUGCCUUGGCCUCCCAAAGUGCCGAGAUUGCAGCCUUUGCCCGGCCGCCACCCCGUCUGGGAAGUGAGGAGCCUCUCUGCCUGGCCGCCCAUCGUCUGGGAUGUGAGGAGCCCCUCUGCCUGGCUGCCCAGUCUGGAAAGUGAGGAGCGUCUCUGCCCGGCCGCCAUCCUGUCUAGGAAGUGAGGAGCGUCUCUGCCCGGCUGCCCAUCGUCUGGGAUGAAGUGAGGAGCGUCUCUGCCUGGCCGCCCAUCGUCUGAGAUGUGGGGAGUGCCUCUGCCCCGCCGCCCCGUCUGGGAUGUGAGGAGCGCCUCUGCCCGGCCGCGACCCCGUCUGGGAGGUGAAGAGCGUCUCUGCCCGGCCGCCCCGUCUGAGAAGUGAGGAGACCCUCCGCCCGGCA
rnacentral:lncRNA from 10 species